GGUGAACGCUGGCGGCGUGCUUAAGACAUGCAAGUCGAACGGCGGUCUUCGGACUGUAGUGGCGCACGGGUGAGUAACGCGUAACUGACCUACCCACAGGUCGCGGAUAACGAUUCGAAAGAAUCGCUAAUACGUGAUGUGCUGUCAGAUUGUGUUCUGCCAGUAAAGAUUGAUUGCUUUGGGAGGGGGUUGCGUUCCAUCAGCAAGUUGGUGGGGUAAAGGCCCACCAAGGCGACGACGGAUAGCCGGCCUGAGAGGGUGGCCGGCUACAGGGGCACUGAGACACGGGUCCCACUCCUACGGGAGGCAGCAGUUAAGAAUCUUCCACAAUGGGCGAAAGCCUGAUGGAGCGACGCCGCGUGAGGGAUGAAGGUCUUCGGAUCGUAAACCUCUGAAUCAGGGACGAAAGACACUUCGGUGGGAUGACGGUACCUGAGUAAUAGCACCGGCUAACUCCGUGCCAGCCGCCGCGGUAAGAC
rnacentral:rRNA from 1 species